rnacentral:lncRNA from 1 species
CUGGUUGGAGCACCUGCUGUAGCUUUUCUGGGGCACUGUGUCAGUUGUGCCUCUCUCUGAAAGGCUUUCAGAUCCACCUGUCACACUCGCUAACUGGUUGGCACAUUUUUGACCUUUAGGGUUCCCCUUCACUCAGCUGCGUCAGAUUCGAAGCCGAAUAUUUCCCUUACUGCAUCCUCAAUUAAGAAAAAAUAAAUAGAAUCUGUGUGGCCGUUACGCAGGCUCAUCCGCCAGCUCUCACUCUUCCACCAAGCAACGUUUCCUGUUGGGAGAAUGCGCGCUUCCUUAAAAACUCAAGGUCACGUACAAAAAGAAAGCCACUUACUGCAUUGCGCAGGUGUUACUUCUGGGUUUGUGAUGUGCAUUCUGUGGAUGGCUGUGACAAUUGCACCUGGCUCUUGUUGCAUAUGCGGCAGGUAACCACAUUGUACACUUCUCGAUAUAUCCACUUCAGAUUUGUUCUGCAGUCUGUCUUUAUGAACCCUAACUUACCCUGGCUGUUGGCCAGUGGCAACUGUAUACAUCAUUAGACUCAAAAUGUCCAUCAGAAUUUAGUCUGGGUGAGUGAUCGCUCCACUGAGUAAUUUUAC